UAGUUAAAUUGGUAAAGCACUCGUCUAGCAUACAAGAACCCUGGGUUUGAAUCCCAG
rnacentral:tRNA from 1 species